CUGCUGGAGCCAGAGCUGCCAGGCUCGGCGCUGCGCUCUCUCUGGAGCUCGCUGUGUCUGGGGCCCGCGCCUGCGCCCCCGGGACCCGUCUCCCCCGAGGGCCGGUUGGCGGCAGCCUGGGACGCGCUUAUCGUGCGGCCAGUCCGGCGCUGGCGCCGCGUGGCAGUGGGGUGAGUGCCAACGGGGCCUGGGUCUCUGAGCCUCCGAGGUCGGCCUUGGAGGUCGGGCGGAGCCGCGCAGAAACAGGGCUUCUCAGAGGUCCCCGGGAGGCGCUGCUGUCCGCGCUGGCCCCUUGGCGAGAAGUGUCGGACGUCUGAGUGGAACCCGGUUCGUCACCGCUGCUCUUUCCACUCGGCUGGCCUCUGCGCCUUUCUCUCAUCCCGCACUAUGUAGGAGGAAAUGCAGCUUUAAUUGGACAGAAAUUUGCAGCCAACUCAGAUUUAAAGGUUCUUCUUUGCGGUCCAGUUGGUCCAAAGCUACAUGAGCUUCUUGAUGACAAUGUCUUUGUUCCACCAGAGUCAUUGCAGGAAGUGGAUGAGUUCCACCUCAUUUUAGA
rnacentral:lncRNA from 1 species